ACUCAAUAGAUACCCGGGUAGUCCUAGCUGUAAACGAUGAGCACUGGGUUGAAGGGUCCUCCAUAGCCUUUCAGCCGCAGCGAAAGUGUUAAGUGCUCCGCCUGGGGAGUAUGGUCGCAAGGCUGAAACUCAAAGAAAUUGACGGGGGCUCACACAAGCGGUGGAGGAUGUGGCUUAAUUCGAGGCUACGCGAAGAACCUUAUCCUAGUCUUGACAUGCACGGAUUAACUCCUGGAAACAGGAGCCAGGCCUUCGGUACGAACGUGCACAGGUGCUGCAUGGCUGUCGUCAGCUCGUGCUGUGAAGUGUCGGGUUAAGUCCCUUAACGAGCGAACCCUUGUCGCUAGUUGCCAGCGGGUAAAGCCGGGGUACUCUAGCGAGACCGCCGGCGUUAAGCCGGAGGAAGGUGGGGAGUGACGUCAAGUCCUCAUGGCCUUAUGACUAGGGCUGCACACGUCCUACAAUGGCCUGCAC
rnacentral:rRNA from 1 species